rnacentral:rRNA from 1 species
ACAUGCCACUAACGAAGCAGAGAUGCAUUAGGUGCCCGUAAGGGAAAGUGGACACAGGUGCUGCAUGGCUGUCGUCAGCUCGUGUCGUGAGAUGUUGGGUUAAGUCCGCAACGAGCGCAACCCUUGCCAUUAAUUGCCAUCAUUUAGUUGGGCACUUUAAUGGGACUGCCGGUGACAAACCGGAGGAAGGUGGGGAUGACGUCAAGUCCUCAUGGCCCUUAUGGCCAGGGCUUCACACGUAAUACAAUGGUCGGUACAGAGAGUUGCCAAGCCGCGAGGUGGAGCUAAUCUCAGAAAGCCGAUCGUAGUCCGGAUUGUUCUCUGCAACUCGAGAGCAUGAAGUCGGAAUCGCUAGUAAUCGCGGAUCAGCAUGUCGCGGUCGAAUACGUUCCCGGGCCUUGUACACACCGCCCGUCACACCAUGGGAGUGGGUUUUACCAGAAGUAGUUAGUCUAACCGUAAGGGGGACGAUUACCACGGUAGUAUUCAUGACUGGGGUGAAGUCGUAACAAGGUAGGCGUAGUGCU